UUCCCUGAACUCGCCAUCUGGCUCCGUUUUCAAGACGGGAGAAGAAACAGUUUCAUGCCCACCUGCCCGCGGCGUCUCCUCUCGGGCACCCCUCCGCCCCGGCCCCCAGCCCCUGCCAGGCGCACGAGCUGCUGCCGGCAUCCACGGUCCCGCCCGCUCCGGGCUCGGGGCCGGCAGCUCCCCCGGCGGCCGCCUCUGCACCAGUCGCCAACCUCCGCGCCCGGCCGAGGUCAUGCCCGCCUGCCCCCGGCUCCGGCGAGCCCCCUCCCGGUGCCAGUCGGCAAGCCGGAGAAGCGCCGGCAGGGAAGGGGGUCCGUAGCAGAGUUGGCACCCGGACUCACCAGCAAUGAAAAAGACCUGAUCCGGAUGUGGAACACUGCCUGACACCUCCCCAAACUGCUCUCCGACGUUUCUAGGCAGGUAGUGAAGGACGGAGCGAGGGAAAGGUAAUAGCGUAACUCUGACUCUGGAUUAUACGGAUUAUACGCAGCUGGAGAACCAGGAAAACCAGCAGCAUGACUGAAUGCAGGGCUGUAGACUUGAGAAUAAGAACUGAUGGUCUGAUCUACAGUGGUACAGAAAUGCUGUUGGAAUCUACAGGCAAAAGAAACUUGGAGAGAUGACAUGCAACGGAGAGGUUUGUGUCUGCUUCCAAAGAGCAGGACCAGCAAAGCUUGGUGGAGAAGAAGAAUGACUUUCAUUUCAUCUCAUCUGCACGAGCUCUCCUGUAACUCACCAGUUCUGCAAUGGAGCGAAGUGGACAGUUCUUCAUUGUGCACCUUUAUCAUGCAACUCUUAAAGCAGAACGCUGAAAAUACAAGAAUAGGUGCUUGACCUUAUAGUGAUCUAGCACAUCACCUCUCUGAGUCCUGAGGCAGCCACACUAGCGGGGAAGCCCUGGGUACGGCUAUUGUAAGACCAUAUCAUGAAAGAGAUGCUUUUUGGCCGUCACGUAUCAGAAGUCACAGAAAACACCUCUGGAGAAGAGCUGGAUAGGCACUGGAUUGUGCUCAGAUGAAGAGGAUUGCUGAAGUGGUGCCUGCCACACACAAGCUUGAAAGGGUGCUUACACAAACCUAUUUCCAAACCUACUUCUCCAAUGCCAUGCUUCUUAAUCCACUCAAGUUUUGACAUCCCAAAUCAACCAACCCAAGUGUUUCUGUCCGUUUAUAUUGCUGCAACAAAAUGCUUAACACUGGCUAACUUAGAGGAGCAGAACUUUAUUUAUCCUUGUGCAGUCCAAAAUCAAGGUACUGUCAGAUUGCCCAAUGAGGGCGAUGCUCCUCUUCCAAAAUGGCAUGAAGGAAAAUGAUGGCAUGGGCUCCUACUGUGGGAUAUUCAUUUUCACUGCUGGUACCCAACCUCUCCCAUGCCGUUGGUGCUCAGUGGAGUGCUGAUGAGAUGCUGUCUUCACUGUGAGCGUGACUGUCCUCUCAAUAAAGGAACU